CCAGACUCCUACGGGAGGCAGCAGUGGGGAAUAUUGCACAAUGGGGGAAACCCUGAUGCAGCGACGCCGCGUGAGUGAAGAAGUAUUUCGGUAUGUAAAGCUCUAUCAGCAGGGAAGAUAAUGACGGUACCUGACUAGGAAGCCCCGGCUAACUACGUGCCAGCAGCCGCGGUAAUACGUAGGGGGCAAGCGUUAUCCGGAUUUACUGGGUGUAAAGGGUGCGUAGGUGGCAGGGCAAGUCAGAUGUGAAAGCCCGGGGCUCAACCCCGGUACUGCAUUUGAAACUGUCCAGCUGGAGUGCAGGAGAGGUAAGCGGAAUUCCUAGUGUAGCGGUGAAAUGCGUAGAUAUUAGGAGGAACACCAGUGGCGAAGGCGGCUUACUGGACUGUAACUGACACUGAGGCACGAAAGCGUGGGGAGCAAACAGGAUUAGAUACCCGCGUA
rnacentral:rRNA from 1 species